CAAGUCGAACGCGAAAGUCCCGCAAGGGAUAAGUAGAGUGGCAAACGGGUGAGUAACGCGUGGGUGACCUGCCUUCGAGCGGGGGAUAACGUUCCGAAAGGGACGCUAAUACCGCAUAACAUUCCGUCUUUGAAUAGAUGGCAAUCAAAGCUGGGGAUCGCAAGACCUAGCACUCGAAGAGGGGCCCGCGUCCGAUUAGCUAGUUGGUGAGGUAACGGCUCACCAAGGCAACGAUCGGCAGCCGGCCUGAGAGGGCGGACGGCCACACUGGGACUGAGACACGGCCCAGACUCCUACGGGAGGCAGCAGUGGGGAAUUGUUCGCAAUGGGCGCAAGCCUGACGACGCAACGCCGCGUGGAGGAUGAAGAUCUUCGGGUCGUAAACUCCUGUCGAAUGGGACGAAUGGGGUGGCGGGCGAACAGCCCGCAACCGUGACGGUACCGUUAAAGGAAACCCCGGCUAACUCCGUGCCAGCAGCCGCGGUAAUACGGGGGGGGUAAGCGUUGUUCGGAAUUACUGGGCGUAAAGGGCUCGUAGGCGGCCAACUAAGUCAGACGUGAAAUCCCUGAGCUUAACUGGGGAACUGCGUCUGAUACUGGAUGGCUUGGAUUUGGGAGAGGAAUGCGGAAUUCCAGGUGUAGCGGUGAAUGCGUAGAUAUCUGGAGGAACACCGGUGGCGAAGGCGGCAUUCUGGACC
rnacentral:rRNA from 1 species